rnacentral:rRNA from 1 species
CCUACGGGUGGCUGCAGUGGGGAAUAUUGGACAAUGGGCGCAAGCCUGAUCCAGCAAUGCCGCGUGUGUGAAGAAGGCCUGCGGGUUGUAAAGCACUUUAAGCAGGAAAGAAGUGGUGAAAGUUAAUACCUUUCAUCAUUGACGUUACCUGCAGAAUAAGCACCGGCUAACUCCGUGCCAGCAGCCGCGGUAAUACGGAGGGUGCGAGCGUUAAUCGGAGUUACUGGGCGUAUUGCGCGCGUAGGCGGGUAAGCCCUGGGCGUAACCUGGGAACUGAGGUGGAUACUGGCGGGCUAGAGUGGGGUAGAGGGGAGUGGAAUUUCCGGUGUAGCAGUGAAAGGCGUAGAGAUCGGAAGGAACACCAGUGGCGAAGGCGGCUCCCUGGACUAACACUGACGCUGAGGUGCGAAAGCGUGGGGAGCAAACAGGAUUAGAUACCCGUGUAGUC